rnacentral:rRNA from 1 species
AGUGAACGCUGGCGGUAGGCCUAACACAUGCAAGUCGAACGGCAGCACAGGAGAGCUUGCUCUCUGGGUGGCGAGUGGCGGACGGGUGAGGAAUACAUCGGAAUCUACUCUGUCGUGGGGGAUAACGUAGGGAAACUUACGCUAAUACCGCAUACGACCUACGGGUGAAGGCAGGGGAUCUUCGGACCUUGCGCGAUUGAAUGAGCCGAUGUCGGAUUAGCUAGUUGGCGGGGUAAAGGCCCACCAAGGCGACGAUCCGUAGCUGGUCUGAGAGGAUGAUCAGCCACACUGGAACUGAGACACGGUCCAGACUCCUACGGGAGGCAGCAGUGGGGAAUAUUGGACAAUGGGCGCAAGCCUGAUCCAGCCAUACCGCGUGGGUGAAGAAGGCCUUCGGGUUGUAAAGCCCUUUUGUUGGGAAAGAAGUCUAGCUGGCUAAUACCCGGUUGGGAUGACGGUACCCAAAGAAUAAGCACCGGCUAACUUCGUGCCAGCCGCCGCCGUAA